UACGGAGGGAGCUAGCGUUGUUCGGAAUUACUGGGCGUAAAGCGCACGUAGGCGGAUUUGUAAGUCAGGGGUGAAAUCCCGGGGCUCAACCUCGGAACUGCCUUUGAUACUGCAAGUCUUGAGUCCGAUAGAGGUGAGUGGAAUUCCUAGUGUAGAGGUGAAAUUCGUAGAUAUCGGCAGGAACACCCAGGGGGAAACCAGUGGACUGGCACGGUGCUGACGCUCAGGUGCGAAAGCGUGGGGAGCGAACCGG
rnacentral:rRNA from 1 species